rnacentral:rRNA from 1 species
UGGGGAAUCUUGCACAAUGGGGGAAACCCUGAUGCAGCGACGCCGCGUGAGCGAUGAAGCCCUUCGGGGUGUAAAGCUCUUUCGGGAAGGACGAAAGUGACGGUACCUGCAGAAGCAGCCGCGGCUAACUACGUGCCAGCAGCCGCGGUAAUACGUAGGCAGCGAGCGUUGUUCGGAGUUACUGGGCGUAAAGGGUGUGUAGGCGGGAUAGCAAGUCAGACGUGAAAUACCGAGGCUUAACUUCGGGGCUGCGUUUGAAACUGUUAUUCUUGAGUGAAGUAGAGGCAGGCGGAAUUCCUAGUGUAGCGGUGAAAUGCGUAGAUAUUAGGAGGAACACCAGUGGCGAAGGCGGCCUGCUGAGCUUUAACUGACGCUGAGGCACGAAAGCAUGGGGAGCAAACA